rnacentral:lncRNA from 1 species
CAGGCGCUGAAGAAGCACCGUGAGAAUAUACGACGUGGGGUUCAGUCUAGCCUGGUGGGUCAGCGCUUUCCUGAGAAAUUAAUGUCUGAGCUCAGAACUGAAGGACAAGCAGUAGCAGCCAGAUUUGGGGAGUGGGGCUGGAGAAGAGGAUUCCAGGCAGAGGAAACAGCCUGUACAAAGGCCCUGAGUACUUGUAUUCUCCUACCCUCCUUUCCCUGUCCCUUUAUGAAGAAGAGAACCUCUUCAUGCCCCACUGUCCAUUACAAAACAUUAAAGAUGAUUUCAUUUGUGGCCAAGUAAAAGCUCUCUGCAAGUCCCAUCAGAAGCCUGGCCAGGAAAGCAGACUCCAGAAGUGACUUCAGGAUCUUUCUCUAGGAAGCCACUACACUCAAGAGGAAACUGAUUUGCCACAGCUGUAUUUCCUUAGGGUCUGGCACUUGCGUCAUUCUGGUUUUCUUCUCCUGAAGAACUAGAGUACUACCAUGGGCCUUGCUGCCUGCCAAGUGAACUUUCUGAUGCUGAGCACAGCCUGCACACCUGGGAUCACUGGAGAAGACAGACUGCCCUCCCUGCCUCCCUGCCUCCCUGAAGGAGGGAUUUAGUAGAGGUCAUUGGGUUAAAGCCAUAAGAACACAUACAUCUCACUUAGAUUUCAAGGACACAGUAUAAAAAGAAUAAAAAGAAGUGUUAACUUCUUAAAGCCAUGAAAGGAAUUUCAGGAAGACUGUAAGCAGCAAUUGAGGGCCAGCACAGGGAAAGGAAACUGGAAAGUGAAGGAGACCAGACGGUGGUGGAACAGAUCGAGACCGUGGAUGGAUGAGGGAUGAGGAAAUAAUUAUACAAUCCAUCACACUUCUCUUAUUGUUGCCAGAAGCUCAGAGUGAAACUUAUGAUAUAAAAAUAGUAACUAUAUUGGCUUUCAUCACUAGACUAUCUGCUCUCACCUCCCUUUAGAGGGUUUAGGGUUUUUGUUUUGUUUUGUUUGAACAAUAUGAGGUGUAUCUAAAUAUAUACAUAUUGCAUAUGUAUUAAUUUCUACAUUUUCCAUUUACAAUAAUAAUGGAUCUGUCCUAGCCUUGCUAAAAGCCCAUGUGACCUCAGACUUCUAUAUGGAAGGAGCGAUUUUAAAAAGUAGCACGAAAUAAAAAGCCAGAAAUCUUCUGUUGAUCUUCUUCUCUCGGUAUAG